rnacentral:misc_RNA from 1 species
GAUGAAGAACGUAGCGAAAUGCGAUAAGUAAUGUGAAUUGCAGAAUUCAGUGAAUCAUCGAAUCUUUGAACGCACCUUGCGCUCCUUGGUAUUCCGAGGAGCAUGCCUGUUUGAGUGUCAUGAAUCUCUCAAACUCUUAGUUUCAUUACUGAGUGUUUGGAUUUGGAGGUCUAUGCUGGCGCAAGUCAGCUCCUCUUAAAUACAUUAGCUUGGGUCUUGCAUAUCUGGAUCCUUGGUGUGAUAAUUAUCUACGCCAUGAUGUCCCUUCAAGCCCUGCUUCUAAUCGUCUGAAUAAGACAAUUUAUUACUUGACAUCUGACCUCAAAUCAGGUAGGACUACCCGCUGAACUUAAGCAUAUCAAUAAGCGGAGGA